UACGUAGGUGGCAAGCGUUGUCCGGAAUUAUUGGGCGUAAAGCGCGCGCAGGCGGUCCUUUAAGUCUGAUGUGAAAGCCCACGGCUCAACCGUGGAGGGUCAUUGGAAACUGGGGACUUGAGUGCAGAAGAGGAAAGUGGAAUUCCACGUGUAGCGGUGAAAUGCGUAGAGAUGUGGAGGAACACCAGUGGCGAAGGCGACUUCUGGUCUGUAACUGACACUGAGGCGCGAAAGCGUGGGGAGCGAACAGG
rnacentral:rRNA from 1 species